GACGAACGCUGGCGGCGUGCUUAACACAUGCAAGUCGAACGGAAAGGCCCCUUUGGGGGUACUCGAGUGGCGCACGGGUGCGUAACACGUGCGUAACCUGCCCUUGACUUCGGGAUAACUUCAGGAAACUGGGGCUAAUACCGGAUAGGAAUCCUUGCUGCAUGGUGGGGGUUGGAAAGCUUCGGCGGUUUUGGAUGGACUCGCGGCUUAUCAGCUUGUUGGUGUGGUAGUGGCUUACCAAGGCUUUGACGGGUAGCCGGCCUGAGAGGGCGACCGGCCACAUUGGGACUGAGAGACGGCCCAGACUGCUACGGGAGGGAGCAGUGGGGAAUAUUGAACAAUGGGCGGAAGCCUGAUGCAGAAACGCCGCGUGCGGGAUGACGGCCUUAGGGUUGUAAACCGCUUUCAGCAGGGGCGAAGCUUGUGGUGACGGUACCUGCAGAAGAAGCACCGGCUAACUACGUG
rnacentral:rRNA from 1 species